UGUUUCUUGCUCAUGUUGCCCAGUAUGCUCUAUAAAUCCCACAAGCAGGCCAGCUGUUUAUCAUCAAGCUGUCACAGAGAGUGCUAUGGCCAGGACCCCACAGUGGGUACUAAACGUGUGAUAUUUUUGGUAUGUACCAGCUAAGGCCUCUACGCACCUCAUGAAACAGGCAUCAAGUAAACAAAUUAAUUUACGGGGAACAGUCAGAGGUGUGAGCAGAACUUGGGUUUCCCAUCUGUAGAAUUCUGCUGCCACAGUUUGGGAGGUGUCACUGAGGAAGGAGUUUCAAACCCAAUCCUAUCAUUUGUACUCAUACAGUGUGAGGGUGGUGCUUACACUAACUGCUCCACUAAUGCUGCAGGAUUUUUGGCUUUCAUUUUUGUGUCACAUUUACGGCUACUGCUGAUAUGUAGUCUGCAUAGAAAAAAAGGUUACCAAUUCAGAGCUGUGGAUAGUCUCAUUUUUGUGGGUGGGAAAAAAAAAAAUUGUGUGUUGAUGAGGAAAAGAAUUUCUAUUAAAGCAAGUUUGUACUGCGAAUCUAUGCAGAAUCCUACAAAUCCUGUGAAACUGAGGUUUGCACAGUGCAAGUUUCAGCAGACUGAAAAGCCUGAAGACCUGAGGUUAUGGUGAGGAUGUUCAUGUGAGGCUGGACAGCGUCUUUUUCUUACCUGCUCAGAUAGGAGAUUGAAGGCUCUUCAUGAUGGGCUUUGCCUUGCACCUCAGGUACAGAUCCUGCUUACUCCCACCAUUGUGUAAUUUUGUGUGUUA
rnacentral:lncRNA from 1 species